UCCUCCGUGGCGCAAUUGGCUAGCGCGUUCGACUGUUAUUACAACAGUUAAUCGAGAGGUUGACAGUUCAAGCCUGUCCGGGGGAG